rnacentral:lncRNA from 1 species
CUCCAUCUUGCCGAAGACAUAAUACAGUUGACAGCCCUUUGAUAUAGCCAUCACGUGUCCCUUAAGCUUCUCUUCUCAAGGUUAAACAAGCACAUCACUUUCAACUGUUGCUCAAAGAACUUGGUUUUGAAACUCCUCAACAUUCUGAGUGAAAUUCUCUGACUGGGCUCCAGUGUGUCAACAUCCUUCUUAACAUAUAAUGUCCAGAAUUGGAUACAGUACUCCAGAUGCAGCCUGACCAGUGUAUAUAAGUAUCAAGUAUGGCAUGUUCAUGUUCCAACUUAGCAUUAUUGCUUAAAAGUUAACCAAGAAGAUUUAAGAGGUGUUUCUUUUCUCAUUGUUUAUUUAUUUUUUAUUUAAAUUUACAGGUUAACAAUUUUUACAAUUAGUUCAGACAGCCAAGGAAGGUGUAACACAAUGAAUCAAAAAGGAAAUGAAAAUGAUGACAAAGUAAAAUAAACUUGAAAUAAAAACAAGAUAUAGUGAAAAUAACAUCAGAUUAAAAAAAAUGCUUUAAGAUGAAAUAAAAGUCAGUGUGAUGUAAUAUAUACACAGUACUCUGAUGAAAAGAACUUUUAGUUCCAAUAAACAUGUCUCAUUUUGAAUUGGUCAGUUUUUGAAGCUGUGCUAUCCUGUUCUUAUGCUAAAAUUUAUAUUUGAGUUCUGAAAAUGUUCAAAAAUUUAAAUAUGAGAAAAGUUUCAGUUUUUCAAAAAUUUCCCGUGCUGUUUUGAAAUUCCAGAGGUAUAGGUUCAGUUUAUGGCUUUCAUUUUGCUUAGUAAUGAAGUGGCAUUGAGUGAACAUUUAUCUAUGUGUGUUGAAAAGUACACUUUGGUGUAAGAAUAUAUUUCAAUUAACAAGGUUGCAAUCUUCUUCACAUUUAAUAGGAAGUAAGCUCCACUGAACUCAGUAGGAUUUACUUCCGACUGAACACGCAUAGCAUCAGGUUGUUAACACUGUUAGUUUGUGGUUAAUGAAGUGCCUAAUUCACAGGUGUCCUCUCUUUUUUUGACAGGAAUCUGCCAUGUACUAAGCCUGGAAUGAGGAGGAGUACUGGUAAUUCUUCAGAAAAUGUCCAUAUUUAGGAAUUUAUAUCAUUGAGAAUUUCAAUUAAAAAUAAAUAGGACCCUGCUACAUACUACACUUAAUCCUUUUGCCCUUAAUAACCUAGGUCUACACCCAGUAGCCUUUUGUCUUGCUCAUAUUCACCAAAGGACCUGACGCCAUCUUCAACUCCUUCAGCCAGGCCUUGCCUUCAGUGCAGUCCAAAUGCAAUGUAGCAUGAAGCCCUGUAUUCUUGGACUAUCCUCCAAGAAUAGUCCCCCUGUUAAGGUCAGUAUAAGGCAUUUUACAACCAAGGCUUAAACACAGAUUUUUUUUUUUAAAGUCUUAUGCCAGUUAUAGUGUUGUUGUUGUUGUUUAGUCGUUUAGUCGUGUCUGACUCUUCUUGACCCCAUGGACCAGAGCACGCCAGUUAUAGUGUAGUGAUGUUUAAAUGGUUAGAAGACAAUUGAGCAUGCACCAAACAGUUCCGCUGUGAUCUAUUUAUAAAGAGAGAAGCAGGUAGUCCACUUUUUUCAGCAUUUCCUGACAGAAGAGAAAGAUGGUCUACACCUUGUUCUGCUACCACAAUGAUAUCUAUUGAAAAGUAGGAUACCUGUUGUGUUAGUUGUCACUUGCAGUGAGAUGUUCUGUUUAAGAAGAAGGAAGAUGCUCAGCCUUUGGCAGUCAGUCGCUCUGCUUUCAUAAAGAUUUUGUCAGCUAUUCUGCACUCUUUACUAAGCACAUUUACAUUUAUGUGCCUUUGGCUAUGUACAUCAAUCAUCCAUCUCAUUUUUGAUAGCUGAGAUGUUAUUUUUGGGGGGAGAGGUGGGUAGAACCUUUCCAUUCAACUUUCCUAGACGUUUGGAGUUUACGUAGAGACUUCUCUGUUGAUUAUAAUUUCCUGAUCUCUGUCUGAAUCUGUGCUAUCUUGGGUAAGAGAAGAAAAGCCUAUAAAUCAGAAGGAAGAAGUGUGAGAAGUCAGAAGUUUAAAAAUGCAGUCAUUGGCUGCUCUUCUCUCAGCUCCAUCCUUCCGUGACUACUGCAGAGAAACUGGGCUGAUGCUAAUCUGGGAGGACAGUCACACCUCAUGAAAGAAUCAUCACUGCUAAUCAAAUCAGAGCGAAAACCCACCACUCUGCAUCACUGGAGACAUUUCAUGUGCUGAAUAUUUCAUGGCAUGGGGGCUGUGGCCAUAGACAAAACACUCCACACGGCUCCUUGUUGCGUGCAAAUAUUUACUUAAACACUCCAGUGCGGUCAAACUGGUGUGCAGCAACACCAGCAAGCCUUGAGUGAUCCUUAUAAAUAAUAGUAAUUGCAUGUGACACCAUGCUUGCUAGGUCACAGUGGCUUGCUAUCAGCAGCGCCCCCCCCCCCGCUUUGCCAGGGCUCCCCUUGUCUGCAUGAUUAAGUGGGCAGUAUGCCACAGGAAAUCUGAUGCAUACGAGAUGACAAAUGUCUGUUUUGGCUGCUGAGAAUUGAACUCAAUCGUAGAUCUGCAGAAACAUCAAAACAUAAUCAAGGAUUGACAUCAAACCCGUGAGCCAGGAGAUUUCCUCAGGCAAAACGGGUUGAACUUGAAAGCAGAAGAAAAGAGGGCUUUAGUUCUUCUUAAGCUGCUACAGCAAUUAAUUUCUGCUGAGUUGUUACAAAAAUAUUCCCUUCUAUCUCUCCCUUUUUGGUGGUUCUUUAGAUUUGGGUUGUAGCAUAUGAUUAGCAAAAGACGAAAGUGCAACGAAGCAAGGAGUUUGCUUCCGAUGAUAUUAUAUUUAUCACUAUUAGGUUUUUUAAUAAAAGUAAUUGUUUUUGAACCCUUUUUGUUUUCUCUCAAUUCUUGAACACCCCCUCCCCAACUUAUUCAUGCAGGUUUAGUUGAGAAAAGAACUGAAAUGACUUUUUGCUCCUUCAUGGCCUCCAACACCUUGAUUUGCUUCAUAUAUGAUCUUUCCAGAAUCUGGAAGAAAGGUAUGAAGCCAGGAGGUCCCAACAAUAAUUUAUCCCAUUCUUAUUUUGUUCUUUUGACUUAUUGUAUAGAAAGUAUCACCAAGGAGACAUUGUUCCCUGAUCUGAUCAGGGAACACAGUGGGUCACUGACAAAGAAGUGACUCUAUAAUAUGAUAAAAUGAUGCAAUUUUUUUUUCUUUGCAAGACAAGAAGCUCAUUAAAUGAUCCAGUGACUGAUUACAAUGAAUGAUAAUCUCUCAACAAGUAUUGUUACCAGUAUUCACAGAAAUAAUGUGUGUGGCAUGACAUUUCUAAUUGACUUAGAUUAUUGGCAUCCAUAUUAUUACACUGUCUGAUGUAUCUAGUAUGAAAUAAGAAGAAAAAAAUAGAGCUGUAUUAUCUGGUAGGUUGGGUACAACUAAAUCCUUGGCUACUGGUCAACAUUCCAGUUGAAGUGCAAUUAUUGGUUGUUUGCUUCUCAGAAUGAGUAUGCAGCUAACCUCUAUGCUUUGAGUUUGCUCCACGUGAGCUUCAUCUUAGCACAUAUAUAGGUAUGAAUAUGUGUUUCUCUGGUGAAUUGCUGACAAAUGUGAUUUCAACCUCAGAGAAAUGGGGAGACAAAAAAUGUGGAACACCUAAGUCCUGGUUUUUUGGGUUUUUUUACAGAUCCUUAAUGUGAAGGAACAUGCACAGAUGUAAUCAUGUUUCCCCUUCUCUGUGACAGACAGCUUGAUGUGAAACACAGCUGUCUCAAAAUGUGCCUGCAAACACUGUUAAAACAGUGCAUGAAAGGAAUGGGAUGUUUGCAUGAUUAUCUGAAGACACUUUCCAUGUGGCAUUUCCCCUAAUAGGCACCUGUGUAGUGUCAACAAGAAAAAAAGAAAGAAAAGAAAUGCAGAAAAGUAACUUGAGAAGGAGCUGCAGUCCUUUGCAUCCACUAAUUUUUAUUGUUUUAUUUGUGUGCUUUCCAGCAUUAUCUUUUAACUAAACAAUUUUGGUUAAAUUUUAGCUGGUUUUGCACAGCGGGUUCUCCUCCUCCUCUUUAUAAUGGUGGCAGCAGCUAAUACCUUUGCUUUCUCAACACCUUGUGCAUAAGACCUGCUGCAUCUCAGCAUCAAUUCUAACUGCAAUAAGCUCUGCUUUUUCUGAUGAAAGGUAAAGGCUUAUGAUACUGGUAAUAAGUAGCUCCAACUUCUUACAGCAAUUAAAAAUUGAACAUGCCAUUGUCAUGACUGCUGAGCAGUUGUGAAAAAUCACUGAACAGGAUUAUUUUUAAAUUGGGCUUUAUGCUCAGUAAUUCUGAAAACAUUACAUUUUAGUUCUAGAAAAGGC